GUGUUUACUCUCUGAAGUGAUCAGCCGGUCCUUUGGCAAUCAAGCUGAGCUAAGGCACUUGGCGAUAAAUAGAGAUCACACUUGUGCAGAUGAAGGCCGGUAAAUUGAAGACAAAACACAAUGACUAUGUUUCCUUCAGACACCCUCUUCCUCAGUGGACAUAUCUUUGCCAGGGUACUGUACCUCGGAGGAUGAUGAAAGGUAGAACGUCUUCUGACUGAAGAAGAAAGCAGAAGAGCUUUAAUUUUGAUGAAGUGUUAUGUGAAGUACUCCCUUUUGUGCGAGAAGAGAGGUUGUUCUACCGCAUCAAGAGUCAUAAUGAGAGAUAUGUGUAACCACUCUCUUCAAAAUACAUACCUUUUUCAAGUGCUAAAAAGUAAGAGGACAACUGUCACGUUCAAAGAACAGUCUGAGUCACGAACAACAUUCUCAAAGGAAAAUAAAUGUAAUAUAACCGCUUA